CAGUCGCAGCCUCGAUCCUUCCCAUUUACUCUCAUUUCAAGCGAAACGAUCUUUGUCAAAUGCUCUCAGCGCUCCUCCUUCCUUCCGUCUCCCACAACAUUUAUCCCUCCCAAGACCUCCCCCUUCUCUCUCUCUCCAUCUCUCACUAAAUAUGACCAUCUUUGUCAAACUGUCAGCGGCCGUCCUCCUCCAUCUAUUAAAUGAAGCCUUUUGUUUCAUUAACCUUGUAUCCCUCCUCUCCUUUCUCCCUCUCGCCCUCGCAUUGCCAUCUGAAACCAGAUGGAUGUCAGACAGUUGUUACCAGUCUGCCACAGGAGAGAACACUUUCUGCACGUUUCUCUUCUUCCCCUCGCCGUUCUUGCCUCCCUCCCGCUUUUGCUGCAUUUACAUCUGGCGGUGCAGAGGUGGAAGCGUUCUUUAAAGAGAGGAGUGAGUAUCUUCAGAGACCCCCUCUGGGCUAUAACUCUCUCUCCGUCUGACCCACUGCCUUCAAGGUUCGUUAUUUUUUUUCUCUGCUUGCGAUCAUGUGGUGUUUUCUCUCCUAGCUUUUACAAUGACAUUGUUUUUGUCCCACUUUUGACAUUCUUCAUUUAGUUCCCUCAUCCGUAUAUAUCCAGGCAUUUCAAAAAGGCACGAUAUAAUAAUUAGAUACGAGCCGGAAUAGUCAAUAAAAAUAGAUAUAGAGAUAUAACUCCAUUUAAAGAGUUUUAUUUUCUCGUGUUGAGGCGACGGUUCAUAAUUCACACCAUGAAUAUUAACGCAUCAACACCCUCCUCCCUUAACAUUUUUUAUUUCAUAACAAUCUUCACGAUUCGAAUGUGGACAUUAUUGUCUUUCAGAGUUACGGAUGAAGUCCACUUGACAUUCUGAAUAUUUUUGCUUUACUUUUUUUAGGCACAUUUUUCCUCACUGGGAUUAAAUACUGGUUAAAUAAUAGUUUAAACCAAUCUUUUGUAUUCACCAGCAAUUAAUACACAGUUUUAAAAGGGUACCUCUUCCCGUUGUGUCUGUAAAGCCCCAUAGUUCAGUCACAUUGACCCAAGACACAAAUGAGGGUUUUAUUUGGACAAUCAAUGAAUGGAAAACCAUUUAGAUAUUAAGCUACACUAAGCAUGCUGACUAUUACAAAGAAGGAAAAGGAGAAACAUUUGCAGCAGGUCGAUCUCAACUGCUAACAAGUGACACAUGCAGUCAGGGUGAUGUGUACAGCAGUAGACUAGUUAAAGUGACACACUGCUGUACACAUCCAGCAGUGUGUCACUUUAACUAGUCUACACCCGAGUUGGAAACACAAAAUGUUUUUUCAAAAGCACGCCUCCGCCUCAGGAAAGACGUGUCGCCUAAUGAGGCUUUCACACGUCUCCGUCACACACACUUGGACAAGGUUUCGUACAUAACGUGCUGUUAUUCCUGCAGCGGGAUCCUGCCCUGCUCUACAUGCACAUUGCAGUCUUCGGGUUUGGAUCUUUCUCACCCAAACCCCAUCUUCAUGGUGUGGGCCGGGCCAAACCAUCUCGGCCUAUUGCCCCUUUGUCCUCUCUGUUUUCAUUGCAUUACAGUGUGACACAGACCCAUGGCCAUUACAUUAGAAUGGGCCUCGGGAACAGGAUCUGAGAUAAAGCAUCUGCUGUAGUGAUGUCAGAUGACAGUUAUGAAGCAGAUCAUGAGGCUUACAGUCUGAACUCUCUGGCGCCGCUUUGCUCUCUUAACCUCUGACAUCCUAAAAGCCAAAUCCUUUCCACUGUUUUAGUAUUACUUCUUCGGUCGCUGUUGUGACUUAACAGAUAUUUGCUCAGGCCCCAUUCAGAUGGUAUUUCAAGAUAACCGCUAUUCCCUUGAACAACUAAAAAGGGCCAGAUAAUGUGCUGUCUUUAGCCAAAACAGUUACUUAUUUAUGACAUUCUGCCUCGGCUUUACCUGCUUCCUCUUCCACUUUGUCCUCAUUCAACUGCACUUUUACAAAAGAAAUGAAUCUUUAAUUAUAUAUCAGAGACUUUCUCUCCUCCGUUAGAUUUCUGCUGUGAUGCAUGAAGAUAAUGUAUUCCAUUGAAUGUUCACUCUGGCCGGCGAACAAAUUCUCCAAAUAAACAGGCGGGUUGACCCGUCGUCAGCGGGUUCGCCGGUCACUGUGCUCUUAGUUAAAUUCUCUGUCUCUCCGUGAUCUUUCAGCCUUCAUCUUCUUAACCCGAUCCCCUUGCUCGCUAAGAAUAGCCGUGGCUUAAAGAGAACAGGCAGGGAAACAGAGAAGAAGGGCGGUAUUGGGAGGCUGCUGGCUGGAUUCUCAUUGGAUUUCAUGCCGUGUGCAGUUCAGUGGCUCCUAUGACUCCUUUCAGCCCACUGAUUUAUAGUAGUUCCCCUGCCGGUGUAACCUUUUAAUUUUCUGCCUUUUUAUUUUUAGUUUGUUUGUGCAAGGGCAUGUUUUAAAGCGCUAGCGUCUCGUCAUCCCUCAUUCGGUUCAGACCUUCAACGAGGCGUGUACCGUUUUGCACGACCGAAAUCACUGCAUGUUUUGUCCAUCAGGUGGAUGGAGCUUGUUUUGUGCUUUAAAGACAGACUACCAACAGACAAACAAAUAAAUUCCAAUCCCAUCAAUAACAUCUGUUGAUUUUCUGACUCAUGGCGAACUGCCACACACGAGCUUCAUAACAAAACAGUGGGACACGGUCAUGUAAGGUGGUAAAAGUCUGUUAAUGCAGUGUUUCCCCUGCCCUUCUAUUGGGGGAAGGACUGAUGUCAGUCAGUCUGUCUCCACGCCCCCCCCGUCCCCCCGACCCUCCCGUCAUUCAUCUGUCCCUCUGUCGGUACGUCCGUCCUCAUCGCCCCUGCAAUGCUGUUAACUAAAGGGAAACCCUAAAAUAGCAUCUAGUAUUAGCAUGGAAGCGUAGCAACCGGCCCCCCACUGGUAAACGCUAUUAGCUCCGUCAGUCCUUUUGCUGUAGUUUCCCCCCUUUGACGCUUUUGCCAUCGUUAGCUGGUCGCCAGUGGCUCGCCGUCACCAUGUCGGGAGCCGUUGGGAUCAAUAGCAAUGAUCCCAACCUCGGAUCUUGCUUAGAGAACCUCAAUUUGUGUUGUUUGAUAAAUUGUAAAAAGUUUGUAAAGUGUUAAAAAGGUGAGACGUGUGCUUGGAACGCAAUUAGGUCAAUACAAUUUCUUAGAUAUAUUACAGAUGGAUAAUGCUGGUGGAUCCAUCUGUUCAUCGUCAUUUUAAGCCCAACCGCGGAUAUAUUUUUAAAUUGUCAACCACUAGUUUGAAAGGGUCAAAUAAACUGAACUCCCUGGUUACUGAAAACGUUAUUGAGACAGAUGUUCAGUUGGGUGGAGUUUCCUGAAUCAAGAUGUAGCCUACAGCCAUGAUUGUAAAAUGAAUCAAGGAAGAGCAAAAAAACAUCCACGCUGGGCUGACAUAGUGUUAUGACGGAUGACAUUAUCAAGUAAUGAUACGUAUGGCGUUUGGAUGUCUACAGAUAAGGAUUUAGGGAGCGGGGGUGUUGGAAAGACACAUGCUGAGUGUGUAAUUACCACUCACUGUUUGCAUUAACAUCUCAUCUAAUUUAAUUCCUCUCUCUGUAGUAGCUACUGUAUAUUUAGCUCUUUCCCAUUAUUCACUACUCGGGUGUUUCUUUCUCGUACACUCCGAUCUCCGCAUAAAUAAUGAUUUAUUUUUGAUUUGCCUGCUUCUGUUAAGGUUAUUCUUUGGUACUAUUUUUGCUUUUUUGUUUAGUAUUGUGAUCAUUUAUGUGCUCUGCGCUGCUGCUAAAGGCGCUGUUGUCAUCAAGAGAGUUAAGGAACUGCUGAAUUGGAAAAGUAUAGCUGGUGUCAAGGUCUGGAGGACGUAGAGGCACAUAGUUGGAAAGGCGAAUACACAAGAACGGCAAGGGGGACCGAGACCGAAUGUGAGCAUCUUAACCGUGAUGUUUCAUGUGAUACCACUCUUUCUUUCUCUCUCUCUCUCUCUCUCUCUCUCUUGACAAACUGAGAUAAGCUGCCCUGACUCUGCAUAAGAACAAAAUAUAAAACAACCCCAAAAAAAUCCACCAUUCUGAGGUCAGAUUUAUCUGGUGGAAAAUGAAAGGAGACACGACAGGAUGCAGGGAGAGGGCGAAACGGUGGAGGAGGGAAUAUGGAAAAAAUGUAUAAACUUUCUGCCUUUUAAUGCUCUCGCCGUAGUUAAUGCAGCACGGUGAGUUGUUUGCUGGUUCGCUGAUCAUCACUUUAAGCCGAGAGCACAUACUUGUUACCAUUUGGGCCUUUGACCGAAACCUUCAGAUGGCUGGUGAAACGUCUCCUCUUACAGGCAAAUCUAUGGAAUUUUUUUCAAUCUCUAUUAAGUAAAUCAUUAAAUUUUAAUUGUAUAUUGUAGGGAAAAGCAGUACUGACUGACUGUUUGCUUCCUAUUUGUUGUCAGUUAGUUUGGACCUGAAGUAUUUGUGAAUGAAUAUUUUUUACUUUGGGAAAGUGAGCGUAAUAAUAGCACUCUCAUGCUUGUUGUCCUUGCGUUCCACUCAUUGUAAAAGUUGACGAAAUCACACGUAACGUUAGCAGUCAGUUCUUCUUCUCCUGUUCCAUUCACUGGUAUCUAAUUCUUUCUUUUAGCAGCUUUUAUGCGCACCACUAGAUCACUUCAUCGUGAGCGUGACGCGGCUGUGGUAACAGGCGCUUUACAGCACGGCAGCUUCGGGUGAUGUGCGUGCAAAUGUAACUUGCCAUGAAGUCGAGCUAGUUGGGGUUUUGUGCGUGAACCUAUGACUGUGUGUAAUAGACAGUGUGUGAAAAAGCGUGUAAUAGGCUCACCUGUCCCCGCCUGCCGACUGAUGGGCAGGGGGAGAGAAGGGAAACCAGGUGGAAGGAGGGAGCCAUGGAGGAACCAAUGCACCGAGUAGAUAAGGCUGCAUUUUAUGUUCCGACUUCCACAUUGCUGAAUAAAUGAACACCAUUAUAGAAUGGGGUAUAAAAUAAAAGGGAGAGGUAUGUUGAUUGAAGAAAUAUUGCUUAUUGGAUGAGGCUGGGGAAGCGGGUGUGGAUCGAACCUUAGGAGUUCAUUACAUUUAGAUUUUUGUAAGCAGAGUAGUAUCUCUUUAGAAUCACCAAUUUGAACCAGUUAAAGUUUAUUACUGUGGCUUUUGAAUUAUGCUGAAAAUAUCAGCAGAGAUGAUCUUUCUCAAUGGGGACACAACGUAAAGCAUCUAUAAAAAUUGGAAAUGGUUGCCGUAACAACAGCCGUUGGUUUGUAAGGGCCUCAGUUUCACAUUUGGGCGGUCAGCAUCUUUUGCAACCAUAAGUGACAUGAGCGGGCGACUAAAACCGAGCCUUCUAUAAGACUAUAAAAAUAUCAUUACUAAAACCAUGAACAUUCAAUGAAGGAGUUGAAAGUCAAAAACACAGACGUCUCCCAUAUUGGAAAAAGCCGUGGUAGCAACCUGCCAAUCACAAGUUAGCCACGCCCUCAGGCCAACCCGGCUUUAUGGUCCCACUUAGUCUAAAUGGGGCCGUCAUUAACUAAGUAAACCACUGAAUGAGACGUCAUGUUCACAAUGUUUAUUGAGGUAAUAAAUCAAGUGAAAUGUGGUGUCAUUUUCUCUUCGGCUCCUAUGCAUUCAGACUUCUUUUUGCAACCAGAGGAGAAAACGAUGGACAUUAGUUUGAAUGCUUAAGGCGCUUCCACAUUGGCAUCCCUCUUUAAAAACAUAGGUCGCUGUCUGGUCGCAACAACCGGGGCAGAUAUCUAAAAAGAAAAGCAAUAGUCACUUUGGAAAAAUAAAACUCCUUUUUUGACUGUUUAAUCUUCUGCCCUGACUAACUGUUGUUUGUCUUUGACAGGGUGACGAGGAAGAUCACGCUGACGUUUCGUCUUGUCCAAGGUAAGAACACAAGACCGCCUGUAUCUCUUUGCUCCAUAAAAAAAAAACCCUGCUGUAACUCAAUAGUUUUUCAUCCUCUCAGUUUCUCUCUCGUUGUAUUCAGACCUCAUGUGCUGCUUUUAUCCGUGCUGAGUACUCUUCUCAGAAUUUAGGAGGGCAUGAAACCCAUUUUAUUUUCCGUGUUGAUAGACAUAACUCUACUUCCCCUGCUAAAACAUUAAAGCGGUGAAUUUGUACAAUAUUGUAGGCUUGUUUUGCCAUCACAUGAAAGGGGACUCCCUCUGCCAAAUCAAUAAUGGUAGCCAUAUGUGUGAGAAGCCUCAAUGCCGUGCAAGCUGUUGUGAAUAUUUGGGAACAAGGCAGGCAGUGUAUGAAAUCACAUUUCUGUCCUUUUGAAUCAGAACUGAGAUUCUCAAUACUCAGGUGAUGCGUUUGAAUUUAAGAAUACUGUUGGAAAAUUCACAUGCUGCCAACCCUGCCGGCCGACCUGAACCCCCCCCGACGAGAACCUGUGGCCCACCAGUAUGGUGGUCUGCUUCUCUGUCAGUAGCACGUCUCCGGCCAUAUCUGGUUGCCGUGGUGACAUGCCCAUGUCAGCAGCAGUGUGUGUGUGUGUGUGUGUGUGUGUGUGUGGCGGGCGAUGAAAGGACUCUGUGGAGGCGGAUAGAAUUCCUCUGUCCAGAAACGCCAGCGGGACGCACACAUGUCGGCGCUCGUGGAGGGGAAACCUCAGACAUGUGGGCACGCAGGAGACGCACGUGUCACAAAAGUGUACACAGCCACAACGGUACAGGACAUGGGCAGAUGCAGCAGACACACACGUAGAGCGAUAUCCAGAUUCCACGGAGGGCGCGGCCAUGCAUUCACGCUGACAGCUCAGGACUCUAGGGUUACAUACAGGGAAGUCCAUGCGUGCCGCAAUGCUUUGAACACUAAUGGUAUGUAUACACACUUUUAUUAACGCACACAGACCUGAAGCUACGGUUUAAUGCCUCCCACUAAAUAAAAUGUCUGCGUCCGGUCCUUAAAGGUCUUUCUUUUAAACAUGAAUGACGGAUGAUGUAUGCACGCAGAAUUAGCGAAUGCAAAUUGUUGCUGGCUCAGCAGCUGCACCGCGGGAAUCUGGGGUUAAGGGCCUUGCUUCUAGGGCAACUUUUAUUGCCGAUGAGGGAGGGAAGGGCAUUACUCAUUUGCUCCCCCCCAGCCAGAACAGACGUCCCCAACACGAGCUGGUUUGGGGAUCUAAAACGAGGACACACGCCUGCCGAAGCCUCGGGCUUCUACUGACAAACAGGUGUAAUGCACAGUUUUUUUUCCUCUAGAAUUUAUUCUCCCCCGUCAGGACGUUGGCCUCGCAGCAAGCAAAGCGUAUGUCAUACCGCUUAAGCAGUAUAAACAAACUAAUGAGAUUCGGAAAAACGUUAAAUAAGAAAGAGGGAAGACUCAAGGGACUGAGACUCUGUAGAGUCUAUCAAAGAUUCAACAUUAUUCAUUUGUUUGCCUCGAGCACCUAAAAUAGUUUUUAUUGACUAUUCAGCCCUUUUGAUCCGACUCUUUUUUUAUUUGCGCAUCACUCUUGGAUGCAUCGUUUUAAAUGGAGAGUACAGAGUGAGCUAAAAUGUAGUUUACACUGCAUUCGCUCUUUGUGUCCGUGUGAGGCUUUCGGAGGUGGUGAAGGACGAGAACGAAGUGGUUCCGCCGCUCUGAACUCAAUGUUGUUUAACUCCCGAGGUCAAAUGAACUAAUUGAAAUGACAACAGAUCCCAGAUUUGAACCCCGAUCAGAUGGGUUCAGAGAAUCCUCCAUGAAGUGAUGCACCUGUAAGAUAACCCGGGACGAUGACAGCCUUUCUUUUAUCUUUCCUUGUCGCACUCUACCACUCGUCCUGCCGUCGGGCCUCUGUUGGCAUUCGUGUCGGCAAAUUGCUUAGUAGACACCACCAUGUCAUGUACACUUGCACAGCGUGUCUGCGUGUGGGGUCGUCAGUAAUGGGAGACUGUGUGUUUUUUGAUCCCUGGGGUUCGCCUUGUCGCCAGAAUCUCCUUAACACCCACACACCCCGUCUCUCUCCGCCUCUCCCACGGCACACACACACACACACACACACACACACACACACACACACACACAACCCUGACCACACUUGGCUAUUUAGGAUUAUAUCCCCACUGAUUUGUACCCUCUACAUGUGCCUGAUUUACUUUGCAAAGGCAGUUUGGGAUGGAUCGAUUUUCCUUUUUUUACAAUUAUGACAAGUUGUUUUUAAGCCUUUUCUGUAUAUUACACCUUAGAGACAGUUCAUGGUAAUGGAUUUAAUAUCACCCUAAAUGUCACUCAUGUUGUUAAACAGCAGGAUAUGUUUUUGUUCCUUUUUGAAUUAUCUCAUCUUUAAUUUAGCCCUUAACAGUUUAAUAGCCAUCGUCAGACUGAGGCAGCUGUUACUAGGAUUUUCUUUUUUUUUGACAUAACCCACUUUUGAAAAGUAAAUGAGAUAAUAGUGAAAGAAAACUACUUCAGCUCAGAGAGAUUUUUUUAAACAUGAAGUUAUUGCAGUACAACGCAUUUAAAAAAAAAGAUGAUUUAUGAGUGUGUGUGAAACAUUAUAGGUAUGUCGCUGAGAUCAAAAUCAAGGCCAUGGUUGUAGAUUGUAGGCGUGCGGUCAGAACAAGGAAUGCCGAAAAGUAGGAGGUCGGUAUGGAGCCGUCCGCCACGGCGGAUACUUAAGUCUGAAAGACUGAGGAUGAGAUCCUGAAAAUGUGAAGACACUCGUUUCUCAAUGUAUAACAAGACAUGCGUGUUGAAAUCCUGCAGGAGGAGAGCUACGUUAGCGCUUAGCAGCAGGUGAGCGGCAAGGUGCUACUUGGUCACAUAAAAGAGCCAACGGCUAAGAAACAGAGGUUGAAUUGUGAUGCGUCCAAGGUCUAUUUCCUAAACCUUUGGAAAAGCUAAAUAACAACCUCGUUAUUUGUUCAUUUCGUGAAUGAUUGAUAUGUUUGCAUUCAAAUAUAUGGAGUUUUUGAUCCUGUUUUGUACCUUUUGGUAUCAAGUUUGUUUGGGAGAAUUGUAGAAUUUCACUCAUAUUUAAAACAAUCACUACAUUUCUUAUAUUUGAAAUGCCGAGACACCACAAGCAUGUAGUGUGUUCCACAACCAGGACAGAAUGAGGACCACUGAUUACCAUGUCUGACCGAGCAUUGCUGACACGAGUGAGAGCAAAGCACAAUACAACCUCAGUGUUGUCUUGACUGUGCACACUGGGCAUCCUUUAGGCCGCUCUCGCAUAUUCCCGGGCGUUGUUGAGUCUACACGUUGCUAUGCACAUUGACAAGGCAAAUCUACAUACACGGCGCCGGUUGCCAUUCGCUGUGACCUAGAAUGGCUGACAAGGGGGAUAAGUCGAGGAAUUGUAUUAACCCAGCCGUGUCCCGAUCACGCUGACAAGACAUUAUUCUUUUUCCUGUUGCUGCUGUUAAGAGCAGAAUGUCUGCUCUGUCAGAUACAGAUGCUGACAAGCCGGCGUUCUGGCGUCUUAAGCGCCGCUGACCAGGGAAUAGGAACUAAGGAGUAGAAGUCAGGCCGGCUGUAUCGACGGCGCAUGUUGACAAAGCAGCAGAGAGCGUUGCGUUGGCCUUGUGUUUGACACGGGACUGGUGACAAGUCCUUGCUAUUCCACACCCGUGUGAGCACGGCGAGGUCACGCUGACCCAAGCCCGCUGGUCCGAGGGGACUGCACUUGAUUCUACUGUGUCUUUUCCUGCGAACAUUGUGAGUGUCCAGCAUGUGUGCGCAUUGAUUAGCCAAGAUGUGUGAGCUCGGCUCCUCGGGACGGCCCCGGUUGUUGCCGGAGGUCAAUGCGUGUGCGCUCUUAAGUGUGUGUUUGCGCUCGCGCGCGUGUGUGUGUAUUUGCCAGGCGGUGGGGGGUUAGGCCCGGAUUGCAAUGACAAUGGAGAGGAAUUUAAAUGAGAGAAAAGAGGGAGAUCAGGGACGUUUGCAAGGAGGAUGGAAGAGGCUUUGGCACCAUUGUUAUUCUUCCUCUUUGUUAUUCUGCCACUCUAUCUCUCUAUUACAAAUCCUCCACUCUGUGGCUCUCUCACUCGGCUAUGUUUGUCACUGAAAUCACUCUGUUAAUUUGAUCCCAACUUAUCCCUAUCUUGAUUUUUUCCCCCUCUAUGUCAACUCCCUGUUGGGAAAGGUUUUCUUUUUUUUUUCCUUCUACUUGCUCUCAAGAGUCACACGUGCUUCACGUCACGCCAAGUUGGGGAAUCUGGGGUUUUUGCCCCGGAUCCUUAUUUGGGUUGUAGAAACUGACCAGAUACUUAUCUUAUACUAAUCUAUGAUACAACUACGCUACUAACUACUGCGGCAUCCAGCUCGGUAGUUGCUGCUAAUGUAACGGCGGUGCUGUUUUAAAUCCUAAAGUAGCUUUGGAUUGUAAUCGUUCAGUGCCGAAAAUAUUAAUCAGCGCAGUGACAAGAAUCUGUCUUGUCAGGUUUGGUCAAAUUUUGUGUUCAUGGAGACAAUUUUUUUUUCUUCUUUUCAGGUAUAUUGUUUGUUAAACAUACAUGUCUAUAAACAUACAUCCAAGAAUGAAAAAAAUAUCAUUCAUUCACUUUUUUAUUUCUAAUGUAAGUAAGUCAGGUUCCGCCUUCUAUUUGUGUCUCAUAUUGAGGGCUGUCCUCCACCAAAGUCCUCCUCAGCCGGCUAACAGUUUGUUGACUAAUCAAUUAGCUGAUUUAAAUCGACAGAUCUGUGAACCUUGAGUAUCUCUUACAAUCACACAGAAGCUUCACUGGAAAUCUGUGAAACCACGUGUCCCUCUCCUUGACCACCAAGCACCAAACACGGAGUCGACUGAGAACUAAAAACAACCGAUUUGUUCCUCAAUCAGGAGGUUCCCCUAUAAUAUCCAGUGUGUCUUUCAAUGUUUUUUUAAUUUUUAUUUAGUGUCACUUGACUUCCUCCCGUCAGCAGUGACUCACCGUUCCUCUGUGGCUCUCUUUGUCUUGUCGCUCCCCCCAUCGCAGUGUUAUUACCUCUACAGUCUCUGGUCAGAUCUAGUGCAGUUGCUAAUAUAACCACUCUCAAAACAGGCUCAUUGAUUUUAAUCCCUCUCUCUCUUUCUCUCUGUUAUAGACACACACACACACACACACACACACACACACACACACACACACACACACACACAAACAGACUUUCUCUCUCAGUUUCUGUUUGCCUGCCCCUCUCUCUCUCUUUCUCUCUGUAGCAGCUCUAAUUGCGAUCAAUUAUGAAACUUCAGAAGGCUGAAAUAGGAGCUGCGACAAGGGGCAUCCGCUGAGCUGGCAGGGGGAGAGGGAAGGGGGGGAGAGGCAAGGGGGGGAGGAGGGGAAAACGGUGACAUAGGAGCGCAGAGUGGAUGGGAGGGGCAGCGGAGAGAAGUCCAAGUCGGUGUCGAGAGAUGAGCUAAUGGUAAUGGCUUGAUUGAUGUGGCCACAGCAGCUGAAAGUCACAUCGUUUUUCAUGCCAGGUAUUGAUUCCUGACAAGCCCUUGUUAGUUUUUGGAGCGCAGUCGCCAUGGCGAGGAGUUGUAUUCCCAUCUGCUAUGGUCACUCUGGUGCUUCGAACAAAAGCUCCAUACACAUAUUCUGAGCAUUGCAGCUGGAAUGAGAGUAAACCGAUUUCAAGAGACAAUUUGGUUGCAACAUAAUAACUUGUAAUGCUUUUAUAUAUUUAUUGAGUUUACACUAUUUAUUUUGUUUGUUUAAAUUCAUAGUUGUUUUAGUAUUGUAACCAAUAUCCUCAGUGAUAUCGGUUUCAAUACGGAUACUCUUUGCAUCCAUCACCUCAUUUCGGAGAAAAUAAAUACAUUGCAUAAACAAAUUUAUUCCUCAAUCCUGGAGGAGUGAAGUAAAAGUAAUGAAUGUGUUCUUAACUGUAUUCAGCAGAACAUAAAACUCGGGUAAACUUUUACCAUUUGUCUUCAACUCUAAAAGUUGUGCGGCUCCGCUACAAGGCGGCUUUGCCUCCCUGUUUUAAUUUGAUUCCCUCCACGCUUUGCGUACCUUUUCAACGUAAGCCAUUCGGAACUAGACUCCGAGUGAAGAUCAUGCAAACAGAAGCAACUUUAUCACUUCCAAUUCAUUUUUAAAUGUAUUACCGACUGACCCCCUAAACACAAUCUUCAGCUUUGCUUGAACAGCUCUUUAUAGAAAAACAAGGAACUUAUUUCAGUUUGAGUCAAGUACACCCCACCCCGGGGCAAAGAUUAUAAAUAACAUUAUUAUCUGGAAAUAUUCCUUCACGGAGGCUGGAGCGUGCUGGUUGCCUUAAGCUCUCUGAGGCACCCGCUGAAAAAUGUUUCCAACAUCGCAAUUCUACAAGAUUUAUGUUGUUCCAGCAAGAUCCGGGCUCGACUUGCAGAUAAAAUAAGCUUGUUGUAAAUAAAUCUAAUGGUAAUUUACCAACGGUUUCCUGUCAGAGAUUUGGAAAAAGCCUUGGGUUUCUUAAGGGUCUCUGUUUUUCAUACAUGUCCUGCAGGCUGAGAGCCUCUGGUCUCAUGUUUAGCUGCCUGUGCCUUGGGGCAUACAAACCCUUUUAUCUUGUCACCCUAAUGCACGUGUAUGUGUGCGAGGCGGAGGGAGAGGGAGCAUGUGAGGGAGAUUGAAGGAUCAAUACUAAGCCGUCAGGAGGUCUGCUACUCCCAGAGACACAGAGAGAGAGAGAGAGGGGGGGGGCACCCAGAAGAGAGUGGUGAACGAGAACGUAAUAGAGAAAGGGAAGAGGAAGAGGAAGAGACAAAGGGAAAGAGGGGGUGAGGUGGCUGGGAAGAAGGGCAGCCACAGGAAAUGUAUGGAGAUGGAAACGGAGAGCAGAUUUGGCUGGUGAUAAAUUAACCGAUGCAAGGGAGACGGGAAAAACAGAGAGGGUGAAGAUAUAAUGCAGGUGGAAAGAAAAUGAAGACAGGGAAAGAGGAGGUGAGGAAAAGGGAAGCUGCUGGUCUACAGGGAGCGCAGUACUUGUUACAGCUAAAGAGAGGGGGAACUUAACAUUAUAAUGGGAUGAGAAACAAGAUACACGUUACGUUUUGGCUCCCUCUCUGGGUUCUCCACAAGGGUAUGGAGACACAUUCAUGUAGAGCACACGGGGGGCUACCGGGCUCGCGUUGUUUUGCAUUGGAGGGCAGCAGUGGUACGGCGUGCGCUGUGACUUGUUCAUCACGUGUAUUCAAUUAGAAUUCAAAAUGAUUACGCUAUCAUAAAGUAGGGAGUUGGACUUAAAGGAGUAGUCGAGGGUUUGGCGAGAUGUGCCGCUAAUUAAAAGCUUGCACUUUAAAGAGGCCAAAACAUGCAAGAUGUACAAUAUAUUUCAAAUAUAACAAAACGGUCUCAAAAGUGACUGCUGGGCUCCGAGGAAGAGAGCUUCAACUUGUUAGAUUCAAGAGAGAAAUUGUCCCGUUGCCAAAAACUCACAAAUUUGAUCCUUCAAAAUGUGUCCAUCAAAAUGUCAGGUGUCCUGUUGAAGUGCCAGACAGCCAAUCGCUGUGCAGCGUGCAGGAUGCAAAUGCCCGCAUGUGUACUUCUUCGUAUUCCCUGCGCAUGCAGUAAUAGAGAAUGAAUAUCGGCUGUUCAGAGCAUGUUUUCUCCCAGCGAGCCUCACUGCGCCCCGAGUCCACACACUUUAACUUCUUUCGACUCCAGUGGGAUUCAAAGUUUGAUCUCUGGCCGUGUUUGUUUCAUGCAGAAGCUCCAGCACAAAAAAACAAAACUAAGAGUAUUUAUAACAUUGGUCUUGAUGCAUAAUUCAGUUGACAUAAACAUGAAAUGAGGGGGGCAAACGAAACUGUAUCCCACAAGAUCUAAAAGCCUUGCCUUGACACCCAUAAUGAAUAUUUAAACCUUGAUGACCCUACGCCGGUACGUCUGUGAAUGAUUUACACUUCUGCCUCACGGAUGGCUAUUUUUAUACCUUUUUGUCUUUUUUCUUUUUCAAAUUCCCGUAUCACAUCUUUUUAUCGUCUUCUCUUUCUUCUUCUGAGAAGACAGAUCGCAGUAAGACAGGAACCUGUCGGGUGCCGAAGAAACCCGUGCAAGUAAAAGAAAAGGGGGAAAGAACUAGAAAGAAAAGACCACAUCUUGUGAUCAUCUUUGACUUAUCUGUGAAUAUCAUCAGCUGUAAUCAUCUUUCCGCAAUAUAUUUCACCCCCCGAUGAUUAAGUUUCUUAAUGGGCCCUGGGAAUAGUAUUAUUUAAUGUAGGGGAAUAGGAUGGAGAAUAAUACCCCAUUAUUAAUAAAUGUAUUCCAGAUGAAGAAUUUCAAUUGUGAGUUUCCUUAUACUUGGGCCCAUAAUGACCCUGUAGGUUCCUUCAUAAAAGAAAUGACUCCGAGGCAUAACACCGUUUUUCACAGUGAAGCAAAGGGAUGGAACGAAACAUCUCUUCUCCCACUAAUGCUUCAUCUGGUUUGUAGCGUGAUCGGUAAAGGGUGAUAGGCUUUUUAUGCCUUGAAUACAGAAUUUACAGAAUGGUUUUCUCAUGCUGGUUGGCGAGUCACUGUGCAGGGGUCCAAACAGGUAAUGAUAAUUUCGUAUGAUGGGUGCAAAAAUUAUGAAAACCCACAUGUUUUAAGUUUGGGCAUAGCCCAUAUUUUCCUGAAAGGACAAUGCCAGGGUUGGUUUUGGGUGCUCUGCUUUAAAAAGUGCACAAUAAAUAAAGGUAAUCCUUUCAAUUGCGCAUUGAUUAAACCCUUAAAUGUCUGUGUGUCAAAUGCAGCACUUGUUAAAUUGUGUAUAUGUAUAUUAUAAACUAUGAGCCGUAUCUGAAACCGUAUCAAACGCAAAGAAAAUCUAAUUUUCUUUCUAAACAUUUUUUAUCGAAUCUUUUAGAUCCACAUUUCGCCAAUGUUUUACCUUUUUGGCUUAUUUUAAUGACUUAGCACAACAUUUGACAUAUCUGUUUUCCUUUGGUAAAUAAAGUAAAUUGAAUUUGAAAUCGUUAUAUAAAGAUUAAAUGAUAAAAUGAGAUGACACCGCUCAACGCUCACUUGUUUUAUUAUAUACCAGGAAAAAAAGGCUCAGAAAUGGAAUAAUAGCAGAUCACUGCAACCAGCCCUUCUCAUACCUAACAGCACUAUCAGUCUUACAUGCCUGUCUAGGAUUAGACACAUCUAGUUAUGAAGACCAACAGCCUCAUUUACAACAGAACAUGGCUCUGCAACCUGCAUCCAUCUCUCUGUUUGUCUCAAGGUUAGGGCUCACAGGGGAGGAGAGGCAUCAGGUUACACUAAUGCAUCAUGGCUGCUGGAGGACACACAUGCACAGGCCUCGUCAGCCACUGUCUCACCCCGUCUCGCCUUCUCUUUCCCCCCUUACACACAAACACACACGCCCUGGUGAGCUGAAACCCCCCCUUUAGUACAGGUCUAAGGGCACACUGUGGCCUUGCUCCAUCGUGCCCUUGUAACCUGCGAGCAGUCUGCCGUCGGUCCGCUGGGCAAAUCACUUGUCUCUAAAAAUAAACUGAAAGCAUCACUGAAGGCCUGGCUGAGGUUAGAGCGAGAAAGAGAGAGGAGAAGAACAGGACACCCAGGAGAGAGUGGAGAGGGAGAACGUAAUAGAGAGAGGGAAGAGGGUAAGAGAGAGAGAAAGAAUAUUAAGUAUUACUCUUCUUCAGUCUAUUUUAUACAUUUAGGACAAACUCCAACACUUUGAAGUAAUGUACAAAAGGGGCAGCAUCGCUCACCAAUCAAUUACCAGUUAAUCUUGACGGGAGGGGGAAGCAAAGAGCUGAUAUGGUAUUAUUGACACACCUACACUAUACAUGCUGAGGCUGCAUUACUCCUGUUUAUAAUGCGUUUGGCCCACUCUGGCCUCCUUUCCAGUGUUUGUCACAGUGUGCAGAGAUUGCUGUUGCUCAUUAAGUCCUCCAAAUUGCAGUUGUGUUCUCACUCAAGCAGAAUCUUAAUCUUCAUCUCUGCAUCCAUUUAGCUUCCUAUCCAUUAGUACGGAAAUGGUUGGUCAAUUAACGCAGUUAUUUUUCAGGUACUUUGUAUUUUCUGUAGUUGGUUGGAUCAACAUCCGCAGCGGAUUUCUUUUACUACUUUAAUAUAGCUUAAUGAUUUAUUAAUCAGAACUAAUUGGAACGUUCACAAAAUUUUCAUUACGCACUUUUUUUUAUUUUAUGUUCUGGCUGGGUCCCGUUCCAUGUCCCAGAAGUUGAAGGCAAAACAGCAGUGUUAAGUCCAUACAGCAUUGGUAACACACUUUAACACACCGUCAUCAGAUAAAAACCAAUGCGCAUUCACGCAGACGGAGAGAGAGGCCUCCUCUAGGGAUCAAAUGCCCGUCCACGGUGCCCUGUGAGCAACCAGCGAGUUAAAUAUCCGUCAGAACACCGACCAUUGACCUCUAAUAUUAAGAAAAGACUAGGGUUCAAAGGGGUCAUAUCCCCCCCCUGAAUGUCAUUCCCUUCUUUCCACACACAUGCACUUAUACACACACACACACCCCCACACACUCUCUCCCUGGUGCAGUGAGAGGGCCUUAUUGUGUAAGCCGGAGGAAAUGCAGAGACAUUGCAGAGGACAGGGCAUCCAUUGAUCCGACUAUAGACUCUUCUCCUACUCAGCCUCUCCUCUCGUCGCUGCCUUUUUUUUUUUCUAUCCCAACCCUUCGCUUUCUCUGCUCUUUGUGUUAUCAGCACUCCACUCUCCUAUAGUUUUUGUCUCCCUGUGAUCCACCACCCCCUCUUCCUCUAUAUUAUUGCUUUCACUCUCCAGGCCAUUUCUGCUCCCCUCUGUCUCUCUCUCUGCCUUCUCAUGCCAUGAUUUCUCCCUCUCCGCAUCUCUUUAUAAUCUCCAUCUAACCAAAAACUCCUCCUUCCUCCUUCCUAUUCACUUAUCUUCUCUUCAACUUCCCUUCCAUCUCUUAAAUGACUUACAUUUGUCCCUCUGUCUCCAACUAGUCAUGCAACUUUGGAGCAGAAACUUAGUUGGAAACAGAAAGUGGAUCAUGGGGACGAGAAGGAUCAUGAUAACAAGUGAGCAAAGGAAGCUUGUGUGAGAAAGUGAAAAUAAUGAAGGGAUGACAAGCAACUGAAGGGUGUGAGGAUGGAAGAAAGAAAGGAAAGGAGGAAGGAAAUCAGCUUGACCACAGGUAGUAUAUGUUAAAUGGUGUUGGAGCAGUGCCAUUAAAAACAGGCACAGAGCUGAACAGGAAGAAGUGAUUUAGUGAACACACACUCACUCAGUCACACACAGCGUGACUUCAGUAAUGGCCAAAGGAACCGUAAGGUGGGAAGUAGGAACCCUGUGGUGGCAAGUAGGAACCUUAAGGUGGCUAGUAGGAACACUGAGGUGGCAAGUAGGAACCUUAAGGUGGGUAGUAGGAACCCUGAGGUGGCAAGUAGGAACCUUAAGGUGGCUAGUAGGAACACUGAUAUGGCUAGUAGGAACCUUAAGGUGGCUAGUAGGAACCAUGAGGUGGCUAGUAGGAACCUUAAGGUGGCUAUUAGGAACCUUAAGGUGGGAAGUAGGAACCAUGAGGUGGCUAGUAGGAACCUUAAGGUGGCUAUUAGGAACCUUAAGGUGGGUAGUAGGAACCCUGAGGUGGCUAGUAGGAACCUUAAGGUGGCUAUUAGGAACCUUAAGGUGGGUAGUAGGAACCCUGAGGUGGCUAUUAGGAACCUUAAGGUGGCUAUUAGGAACCUUAAGGUGGGUAGUAGAAACACUGAGGUGGCUAGGAGGAACCUUAAGGUGGCUAGUAGGAACACUGAUGUGGCUAGUAGGAACCCUGAGGUGGCUAGGAGGAACACUGAGGUGGCUAGUAAACCCUCCUGCUUUGUACAUCCCUUCUCAUCUCUCUGACUUUUUGCCUCCUCUCUGUCCUUACCUCCCUCGCCGCUUGCAUGAUUCCUUCUUCACCUCCACCUUCUCCCACCCUGUCUCCAUCUCUGCUUCUGGCACUCCCCCCCUCCUCCCUCCUUCCUCUUUGCCCUGCUCCCUUCCUGCUGGACAGGCUUUUAUUUGAGCCAUGUGGACCUCCCUAAUGACAUGUGGACCUUGGUGUGUGUGUGUGUGUGUGUGUUUCUCUGCGAGAGUUGUAGGUGCUGACAUGUGCAUGCGUGCAUGUGCACGUGUGCUUGAUGUGCUGACGCACGUGUGUGUAUGUGCGAUGGAGGUGCUGACAUGUCUGAUCGUCGUGUAGUUCUCCCACUGAAGUUCUGCCGACGGCCUCUUACCUUUGAACAGGCCAGUGAAGGGGAGGGGGGGGGUAAGAAAAAAUACCGGAGCACUAUGCCAGAAAUGUGAAGAGAAGCAGAGGGAAGGAGGGAGGACAAAGUGAGAGAAGAGAAGGGGUGGUAAGUGGGACAUUGUUACAGUAAUUAACACAGAUGAGAGAAUGGGAAGAAGGGAGAACACAAUCGGGUGGUUCUCGCGGCGCACACAGGGUGCCGGAGAUCACGCGUGUCCCUGAUCAGAGGGACUCCGGGAGACGAGGGUGGGUGGGGGGGUGGGUUUGUUGGUUGGUGUCGUGGUGGUGGCACCGUGAAAUGAGCCUUGUUGGAAGAUGACGGGUCUUACAGGGCCCCCGUCUAGAGCUUGUGUUCUAAGCUACUACCAAGAAGUUUACUUCACCAAAACGCACCUACCAACUCCCCAUGGACAAAAGGUACUUUUCUAAAGCCGUUCUUUUCCGAUAGUAACCAGCACUUUCCACAGUGGUUGAGUGUUUUAGGAAAGCAUAGGCAGCUUCUUCAAAUGACUUUAGCCCAAUUAGUGGCAGUGCACAUGUAGCAGAAAGAGGAAAACCGGCAAACAUUAAAGAGUUCACACAUAUGGUUUGCAUCUUUCUUAUUCUAUUCAAUUAAAACUGGCAGCAAUUAGAAUCUCGAGAACCGUUUCACCUGUGAAUUCAGCCGUCCACACACUAUUUCAUCUCCUCCGCGAUAGUCAUCGAUAUUUUCAAUGAUUAACAAAAUGUAACGCAUAGUUUAAUACACAAAACCUAUGAUUGGUCAAAAAAGAUUCAAUUCUUAAUUUUGGACUUUAAGGAAUGCCAUUUGUAUACAUUCAGUGGGAUAAAUGGGAAUAUGAUUAAACGGCGCGAGGUGUGUGAGCAGAUGUCUUGAUAUGGUUUUACUUCAGCUCAUCACGACUUCUAAAAUUCUACAUUCAAACGUGGAAGUGUGCGAGAAGAACAAAGCUUUAAAUUUUUCAACGUAUCAUGCAGUGAGUGAUAGACAUUCAAAUGGUCAUUUAGUGAAUAAAACAUUCUUUUGCAGAAAAAGCUCAGAAGGAAUUACAAGAACCAUUGUAUGGUCCCAAAAGCAGAGAAUCUUAUGAAAGAGAGAGGAAGAAAAUGCUUUUCUGGGUUCAAGUCAAUAGCAUUGCUGUGAGAAAGAAAGUCCAUGGAAGACUGUAUUGAAUGGAUAUCGACUAGAAUGGGAAAAUCAUUGAACAAGUGUCCAGCAGAGGAUGUGAACCAAAGAGAGAGCCGAGAUGAGAGCUGCAGGGACAUGUUUUGGUCAGUAUUUGUCUUUUUAGGGACAUUUUGAUCUCCUUGGAGGUUGAUUAUACCUAUAAGACCAUCACAGUGGUUUAAUGUUUAUAUGGAUGUCUCCAUAUGUUUAUCUUUUUGCAACAUCUGCCUGUUUCCCAGACUAAUCUAUCAAGUGCAACACCCACUUGCGGUGUUAUGUUGAUUAAACCGAUCAAGAAUACCAUUAAAGGCGGUACCCUGCAGCGCGUACGCUAUAUGACCUUUAACUAUCUAGUGUAUCUAUUUGUUGAAUUUUUUCUUCUCCACACAUAUAGUACAGCCACCAGGGCACCGUCAGGCUUUGCUAUGUGUACCUUGAAGAACGAGAUGCCUCCUCAAAUGACUGGAAUCCAGUUGGUAUUCUCGACUGCCCUCUAUGUGCGAUUGUAUAUUACCAAGGAUCGGUCUGAUGACGCUCCGUAUGAUUGAAAUAACACGGCAUCUCUUUGUAGUUCCAGCCCCAUGUUUAAAAGACAAAAGGAAAGAGAGAUAACAGAGACUGCUUCGUCUGCUAUAAUGGACUCUCGCUCAACAGAAUGCCAUAUGGAUCCUGCAAAGCACCCAUCAAAUGCACACUACAAGAACCCGAGAAGUCCAGAUUAAAAGCCUGUGAUGCUGCCUGAAAAGGAGAAAACCAAAGAUUGUGAACUGACUGUUUAAGUGCAGUAUACAUGUACUGUAUUUAUUACUGUAUACUGGGUAAAGUCCCUCGUGUCCCUGUUGCUCACACGCGACUUUGGGGUCCCAGAAGUUGGUGUAGGAAAUGUUUGACAGUGCGGCUAGUUAACAAUGAUUGAUGCCCGUAGCCCUCUCAGCUGUUAAGGAGAGAUGAGGGGAAGCAAGUGAUGCAAGGCGGAUUGGAAGCUGCCUGCUGGCAUCUGACUUUAGGAAUGGUGAUUAAAAACACAUUAUGACAAAGGCAACAUCUGGCGGUGCAUUCAGAUCCUCAGAACAGUAGUGCACUGCUACGUUACCUUGGCAUCACAUGCACAGUGGAUGAAAGGUGUGCUCCAAACAAUGAAAAACAAACAAAGAAGUUUUGAAUUAAAGUCCCAUUUUGUCUGCUCGGUGGUGCUUUCGGCAAACUGAAAACAAUCCCCAAAUAGGCUAAUUAGUUUCAUUAUUGUGUUAUUUGGAUUCAUUAACUUAAGUUUAACUCAACAUUUGUACUUUAUGUAGUUAAUAAUAUCAGUCAGUCAAUUACUCUCUGGCUGGUAAAUUAUUUUAACAACUUGACAUAAGGGGAUUUUUCCUCCAAUUAAUGUUCAUGGAAUACAGCGUAAUCUUUGCUGUGGUUUAUUUGGUUCCCCAGGCCAAGAUCGUUACAUGUAACCUAUCAGCACCAUGGAAAAAAAAUGUAAUUAAAAGCAAAAUAUAGUCUGACUAAUGGGAACAAUUUACUUUGAUGACACGCCACAAAAGACAGCAUCUGUUCUGGCGCUGAUACCCGAGGGCUGUGAGCUCAGCGCGCCAUCCUGACAAAGCAUGCGUGAACGAUUGUCAGCAGGAGUUUCUACUCGGGAUCAGAUGACAUUUUGUGAAAGUCAGCCGUCACCUCAUGAAAUCGCUGAAGACAAUCUAGUCAACAUCAUUAGAUGGACGUGUUCACUCUGAUCUGAACACGUCCUGACCUGAAAAAUUAGACUACAGACGCAAUGCUGUUGAUUCUGCGUUGUGUUUUCUGUGAAUGAUCUUGAAGCUGGGGGAUAGUUGUUUUUUUUAUGCAAAACACUGCUGGUUCGAAUGGGAUUUACAACCUUUGACAUGAAGUCAAUUACUUACCAUAACAACAAAGGGCCAUGAAAGAGAGAAACAUAGAGGCCGGUGUCGUAGACGACUGUUGCAAUGCAGCAAAUAUAAUUUUGUUGCGUAUGCAAGUUGGACACAUUGAAAGGUUCACUGCAGUAGAAUUAAAAGCCUUGACACGGUUACACCGUUUGUGAAGAAGGUUUGUUUCUGAAUUGUACUCGUGAAUGUUGAAAAGGUGUGCGGUGAGGAAAGCGCCUCAUCCUUCUCUCGUGCUACGUCUUUAGCUUUAACUCCCCACCCGCAGUGGUAGUUGGGCCAACGUCAAGCGUGGACUGACACGCCGCCCAUGACGUGUCCACAUCUGCAGGUUUAAGUGGGGAGCCACAGCAUGGAGCGUAGUUUGAAUUACUGUAUUUGAGGCAUUUGGGUGAGAAUGUGUUGUCCCUUGUUUCACUAAAAAGGCCGUUUGAAGGAAAGAAACUGAAUGGAAAGCCAACCUAAUGAUGUGCUCCUCUUGUUCGCUGACAAUCUGUUAUAGAAUUUUGCGAUAUACACUGACAGCUUUGUCAGUGCUACUCAAGCAAGAGGAGGUAUUAAGGAGCAACGUGUUGUGACUCAUCAGUGGGCGACUGUCUCACUCUGCUGCGAUGAAUUAAAUCGGGUUCAUUGAAACGGUGUCCUUCUUUCCCACUUAGGCCUUUGUUAUAAAGUUGUAAAUCCACAAGACGGUUCGGGUAAUCAAACAUGUUAGUCGAACUAUGAUGCGAGGUUCAGAUAAGGUUUAUUUUUAUAUGCGGACAGGAAAGAGGAAUUGUAAACUACAUGCUCAAUAGUGUGUUCAAAGUCAAUUUAUAGUUCAUAUUGUACUCUGAUAUCUCCUCACGAUCUCGUGUGUGAAAUAGGUCUAUUGUGUGUAAGUUGAUGCGCGCGUCACAAUUCUCAUUGAGCGCCUCAAAUCAGAUGCCACUUCAUCGAUAGGAUAUUUCACUGCCUAAAGGGGAAAAAAGGAAAGGAUUGAAGUGAGUAUGAAACUGACCAGAAUAUGUCGGCCAAUUGGAGCUUGAGAUUGGAGCAAUCGGAUGCAGAUGUUGUCAUCUGGUUGAAAAAAAUAGCUGUAAAUGAAAUAUGAUUUUUAAAUGUUCUGAUGUAUGAGAAUGAAUGGAAACAGAUACUCAUCCCGUCUCAACCAUUUUUUGUGAGAAACUAAUGGUUGUGUGAUUUGCUCAAAGACCCUUUUACCCGCGGACAGAAGGAGCCGGGGCGGGUUAUAAUAUAUAACCGCUAACUUUGUCGUGAAAGGACGACUCUGCUCAAUGAGACACAACCAUCAAGCCAUUGUUUGGCGUAUUGAAGUAUUGAUAUUCAAUGAUCCCUUCUUUCAAAAUGUCAGAUUCUACUGUAGAAUGAUGACACUUUUAAUGUCAUGAUUAUGCCAUUACAGCUCUUUAUUAAGGUAAUUGAUUACUUCUGCUCUAAAAAAAUAAGUAGUUCUGUGACGUUGGCCUGUUCCUUGGACAAAUGAGCACUUGACGAUUUCCCUUUUUGGUCCCUGGAAAACAGACUUUUCUCCAUGCUCCGACCUUUUAUUGACCUUGUAAUUAUUCAUUCAUCCAAAACAAUUAUGCCAUGAAUUUUAUGAGAGCGCUGCUGCAGCUGUUGGAAAUUAGGCUCAAAAAGUAAUAUAAGAAAUUGCCCGGUUGGUCUCGCCGAGUGGCGAAGUUUAAUUCGUCAUGGUCUUAUUGAAAGUGUUCGCACACACGGAUACAACCGCACACGGUCACAGCCGUACAAACAUAAUGAUAUGGAUUUGCAGCCUGCACACACGCACACACACACACACACACACACCUCUGGGACCCGGCCUGGGUCUCUAUUGUAAAUGAUGCAGUUCGCCUGUGUGAGCUGUGGUUGAGUUAGUAGCUAAUUAGUUUGGCACGCCAGCCUUCUUCCCAGGACCUGUGUGUGUCUGUCUGUGUGUCUGUCUGUGUCUGUGUCUGUGUGUGUGUGUGUGUGUGUGUGUCUGUGUGUGUGUGUGUGUGUGUGUGUGUGCUGGAGGUGCAGUGGGGGGUUUAAUCCUCUUUACUUGUUGUUCUACACCACUGCCACCCCCCCGAUUCUUUCUGUUUUCUUUGCCCCUUUCUCCACUUCUUUUGGCUUUGUCUUUCACCAUGUUUGCGUUUUGUCCCCUCUCUGCCUGUUCCUCCCCUUUUGUCCCUUUUUUUUAAUCUUCCCCCUCUAUUACUUUCUCUCCCUUUCCAUGCCCUGCACCCCCCCCCCCCAUUUUAUUUGCUUCUCCCUCUGACCCUUGUUAUUUCCCCUCUCCAUCCAUCUCCUGUAUUUAAUGAAAGUCCCUGUUAUUGGACUAAUCCAGUGGUGGAGUGUUCUCAGUGUCUCCCUCGCUUCAUUCCUCCGUAUCUCACCGCUCAUCCUGCAUCUUUAGAUUUCCCUCUCACCCUCCACUAAUGGAAGUCCCCCCCCCUUCCCCUCCGCUAUCUUUGUAAUCCAGUGUCUCCUUGCCUCCACCUUUCUGUUGCUCUUUCUUUUCCUCUUCCCCUCUGUAGACUAAUGAAAGUCUGUGGUGUUGGUCUAAUCCCCUGGCUGUGUGCUCACAGCCCCUUUGUUGGUCAAAUCUGACUAAUGCCCUCCGUCUCAGUCCGCAGCACAGCAGCCUCUUACCUCAUUCCUCACACACACAAACCCUAUGGGGAAUAUUAUGAUUUUUGUAGAAAGUGUAUGUGUCUUUCUCUUGUUUGAUAAAGACUCGACACGGCGUCCAAUUGGAGAAACACGCAACACCAUGUCGGUUUUCUACUUUCACACUCAAGCAAUUCAUAUCGAGAGUUGAAGCAACACAGUGGAGUGCUGUUUAAUUUACUUUAUUCUCAUUUUUUAAUCUCCACUGUGAUUAAAGACGUUCAGCAUCCUACAUCUCCACUGAGUAGUGGUCCAUGCUAUGUGCAUAAAUAAUGAAAAUGAAUAAAUUAAUGCAUUUGAAUAAUGCCUGUAUUUUUCAUGUUCUUCUUUAAGGGGAAAUUACUGUAUUUUCUUGAUGAAUUUGGACUCUCAAACAGUGGACUUUUCUGAUAUAAUGUCUGUGAAUGUGUGGUCUGUGCUACAAAACUAUAAAUCCAACAGUACGUCUUUGCGUCCAUGAACUGCCUGCAGCAGCAUCGUAGUAGCGACAGCAGGCCGACCCUGAUACCCCCCCCCCCCUCCUCCCAGGAUCAUUUCCAACAUCGCCUUCAUCACUCAUGGCCAUAACUUCAUUCGGGCGGUAAGCAGAUUGACCCUCCGAUGACUGCUCUUAUUAAAGGGCAGACGGUGACCUCAUCUCACCCCCGUCAUCCUUUUGCCAUGUUAAUGGUUUGUAUUGACGGACUGAUACUCUGACACACGUGUACUUGUUUUAGUCAAUGUCCCACACAAAAAUGUGCGCAUGAUAAAUACAGUACGCGCUGCAUUGUGUUCCAUAUCGAUUGAUCUUAGUGCGCCGGCAGCGUGGCAUCAUUGACUGUGGCCGUGUGUCUCAUGCACAGGAAAUGGUACAUGGGAGCGUGCGUCUACUUCUAGUGCGUGCGGGUGUGCGCAUGCCCUCGUGUGCGUGUGUCAAAGAGUUCGCUCUUACACAAUCCUGACAGUGUUUGUAAUAUUUUGGGCUCAUUGAAUCGCCUGUUUAUGGAGUGUGCAAUAAAUCAUGACUAAACAUAACCAAACACAAGUGUGUGUUUAUCAGCGAGGGAACGCCGUUUCAGGCCUUGCACAUUUUUGGCUGUGAGUGCGACACCGAGGUUAAAUUGCUUCAGUCGUGGUGAAACUACGUUGAAAUUGAGCUCUAAAGCACAUUUGAGGCUUUGCCGUAUAAAAUGUAUGUAUGAAGUUCUGUUUCAGGGAAGCCAUGCGAUUGGAUUUGCAGAAGGGCGGCCAGACCAACAGUGUGGGAGCCGCUAGGUUCACACGUCUCCAAAUCACUGGGUACAGAAACCCAGCUACUGGUAUGAACAAAUUAAGACUGGUCACUGGUCAGUACCAGGUGACAAGAACAAAAAGUGAGCCAUUAGCUGUAAAACAUUUUCUCACAGGCUAAAUUCAGCAUAAUGCUUAAAUCCACCAGUACAACAAUAGUCAUAUUGUACUCAUCUAUUUUUGAAGAAAAGUAUUUCUUUAAACAAAUUUUAUGCAUAUUUCAUUUCAAUUCCUUCUACCUUUCAGUUUUAUUAAAGAUUCUGCAAGUGCCACCCGACACAUUGUGUGGAUGUUUCACAAUAACAUCUUAAACUAAAGGAGGGAAUUUGCAUCUUGACUCACUUGAAAGGUUCUCAUGUCAAGCAUCUGUGUUUAUUUAUCUAACAGCGAUAAAGCAAUUUUAGUAGAUUGGAAUCAAGUGAAUCCGACUGCUAGUUGCAUUUGUAUUCCUGAAUUUGUCAAGAUAACGGGUAAAUAUCUAACAUGUUUUUAUUAACUGUAAAAUGCUACCAGGCGCAAAUUGUAGCAGAAUAGAACAGGAGGGUACACAAAAGUAUGAAUAAAGGUCUACUAAAUGUAAAGAUGUCAAUCAGAAUUAAGAUUCGGGAAGUAGAAUGUGCACACAGACAAUUUAACAAUGUUAAAUAAAAAGAGAUUUGUAUAGAGAUAAAGGAUUUAGAAUUACAGGACAAAAGUAAGCAGAGACACAGUGGUCAAACAUAAACAACAUCCACAUGCUAUAGAAGCUAUUCUCCAUCCUUCAUUUUUAAGAAAUUCAAAGGUGACAAAACUAUUAUUUUUCCUGUGACAUUGGUGCUGACACAUCCACUUUAUAUCAGAGGAAUUCCUGUUUUUGAAGUCCCGACACGUACUGUAGAUGUUGUAAUAUUUCCCCAGGCGCCAACAGUCCUCGCACCACCCAAGACAAAUGGCUGACAGUUGAGGUUUUUUUGUUAUCGUUCUUCAAAAUUAGACAUCAUUUGAAAACACCUACUCAGUUCUAAAAGCACAUACGUAAAAUAAAUUACACACGGCAUAUUUUAAAGAACAGCUGCAAUUGUAGUCUCUUGUCAACAUCAAUAAUGUUUACAGCCUUGUCCUAGAUCCACUUGCUAUGCUAAAUGAUCCACUUCAGUUAAUUGUUUUCUUUCCAAGAAUGAAUAUGAAACAUCCAGAGAUUAAGCUCCGAGCCAAACACCGCCUCGACUUUUUUAAGCGCUAUUCAUUUGAACUAGAAUUUCACAUCAAAUCAUGUUUCAAACUUUUCAAUCCUCUGAUUCUACUUUGUGCUUCCAGUGAAUGUAGAAGACCGUAUUUCAAACCAGAUCCCCUCAUGUGGGAAGUUAAAUAUGUACAAGUCAGCCAGAGGUGAAAUCCUUCCCUGCCAGGGGAGAUCUCCAGCUUACAGGGUCUCAGGCAAGACUCCUCUGAUUCAUGAUGGGUGUGUAGAGGGAGCGAGCAAAUGUCUACGUGUGUGUGUGUGUGUGUGUGAUCAACAGAAAUAUAUGGCUAUAAAUGGUUUCAUCCUUUGAGGCAUCGACGGGUCUUCCUGUUUCUCCCAAUAUUUGGAGGAACUAGUUAACCGUAAUAAAAAAUAAUGCCAAUGGUAACAACAGAAACUCAAAAACUCCACCUCGCUAGAGUUGACGUCAACUGGUUAGUCAGAAAGUGAAAGGCGGCGGGGGUAAGGUAAAGAGGGGUGGAACUCAUGAGGUGGAUCCCGUGAGACAGGCCAGGUCAGCUGGGACUCAACAUGGGGGCGGCGAGAGACCCAAGCCCCCCGGCGUGGAGAGCACAAGCACCCGGGACUAUAAGAUGCGGCGGGUGAGAGGUGUCUGGUUCCACAGAAGCUCCUUUCAUCCCAUCUUGCAGGUAAAAACCCCCCACUGUGGAGCGAAGCAGAGAGAAUAACUUGAGAGAAGGAUCGCUAAUCCACCCCGACGGCCUGCAGGCUCUGGGAUUUGGGACUAUCGCUUACCGUGAAGUAGGAGCAGGAGCAGGUCGAGUUAGGGCGCAAGCAUCCCUCGUAAAUGGUAAAUGGACUGUACUUGUAUAGCGCUUUUCUAGUCUUCUGACCACUCAAAGCGCUUUAACACUACAUGACAUCAUUCACCCAUUCACACCCAUUCACACGCUGAUGACACGAGAACCACACACAGUGACACCUGCCCAUCAGUAACUAACAUUCAUACGCUGUAGUCGCAGCUACAGGAGCAAUGUUGGGUUAAGUGUCUUGCCCAAGGACACAUCGACAUGCGGGUUAGCCAAGCCUGGGAUCGAACCGACAACCCUCUGAUUGGAGGACGACCGUGCUCCCCACUCACCCACAGACGCCCACAGGAAAGCAUCGUGUCUUUCCUGUCAGUCAGCCCAGCGACGCUAUUACGAUACGGCAAAUAUUGUGCCCCCGCGGCGCUCUCCCUUUUUCUGUCUGGGUUUCAAUCCAAGCAGGUUUAUCCUCUCCUCGACCGACUUCGGCUUGCUCGCCCUCUUUGUACGCACGCCGCCUCCCAAUCUCUUCCUCCCCAUCGUUCUCCACCAGCUUCGUUAAUGCUCCUCUAUCUUGAAGCCUCACAGGGAGCUAAUUUAGCUGUGAACUUUGUUCCGGCUGUCAAUUCACAAAAGGGACGUUGCAAAGAGUUAAGCAGAUAUGGCAGUCAGAGACCCAUAGGGGGAGCGUUCAUGAGAGAUUAGUGGCGUAUGCUCAAAUAUUAGUAUUAUUUUUUUGUUGUUGUUUUUUUCAUAUAAUGAAAUGAUUUAUUCAUUUUCAUUUCCAGUAACGUCUGUUCUAGAUCACAUGCAAGAAUGGUCCGCAGCUCCAAUUAAGGCAACGGAGCCAUUAAAGCAAUUUUGAACCAGACCAGUGGACCUUAAAACACAGAGCAGCUCAACACAGCAACAUCUGUGAUUACUAACAAAGCUCAGAAUGCUCUGUUAGAUAUUCAGGCUUUUUUAAUGCUUAAAGGAAAUAUGUGAAAUGAAAUGUUAAACAUUGUUAGAAGUAGGUAGAAGCUCAAUGAGAAAUGUUGUUGUCAAAGCUUUACGCCAUCUGCUUACUAUCGUCCGUACAAUCGGCCGAAACCUCGAGCUAUUCUUUUGAAGCAGCUGUGUGGUGUCGUAGAAUGCAGUAAACAAUAAAACAAAUUCUCAUUGAUGGUAAAAACGUGUAUAUGUUUGCCGACAUUGUGGUUUCUUCCUGUGGUGCCCAGGAAGGAAGUCUAAAUUAGUCAUUGUUCGUGGUGCAGCCGAUCAUGUCAUUACACAGUUUAAUGUUAACUACCCCAGUGUAAAGUUAGGUUUUACUGACAUCCUUAUCUGCUGAUCUUUAUCGUUUACACUAUUUUAGUCUUUGAUCUCCGAUAAUGUUACACAAUGGUCACUGAUAGUUUGUUUUAGGUGAAAGUUAAUAAAAAAUCAUAUAACUAAUUACAACAUUUGUUGUUUUAAUAAAUAGAAAUAUGUUUGAUUUUUUUUUUUACAUCAUCUGAACAUGUUUUUAUGAGAACCCUCCAACUAUUACUAUGACUUCAUAGACCAGUUGUUGUAACCAAAGGAGAAAAAAGGAUCUCUAUCCACGCAAAUGGAUCAUCAAUGACAAUUAGUACCAGCAGCAAAACAACUUUUUGCUGCUAGUUUUUCUUUUUUCCUUCUGAUCCAAACAUGUGAUCUGAUCCAUGACUAUGAUUGUGAGUCUUAUGAUCACAAUCAUCUGUUGGCCAUACCCAUGACUAUGUGGUUGUUACCCUGCUGGGACAGGGUCCAAUUCCUGCAUGGAAACUACUGAUGAUAAGGCAUCCGGUGGAUCGGGCUUCUGGGAAGGUCCACCUGGAUUUAAGGAGGGAUUAUUGGGAUUGAGCAUAUAUUAGUUCUGAAUAUAAAUCCCAGUUUGGCUAUCUUGCUACUGCUUCUGGGUAGUGUCUUGAUGCUGGCAGUGGGGCUGAGUAGUUGGAUGUUGUCAUCGUUAUUAGAAGCUGAAAGGCAGAAAGUUACCGAACCAGCCGGUUGGGUUAAUAAGGAGCAUGCUGAUUAGUGAUUGGCUGCUACACAGGCGGACGCAAGUCGAUGCCUCAUGAAUCCUAAAGCGAGGGUGGAAGGAAGGAGCAAAACGAUUCCCUGGGAGGAAAAAAAAA
ensembl:lncRNA